UGCGAGACAAUUUCAUCCCGUGCCCGAUCGGGGGAAGCCGGUGGAAAUCCGGCGCUGACCCGCAACCGUGAUCCGGGACGUACGGCAUCCGCGCGCCGGCC
rnacentral:ncRNA from 1 species